AUGGGGAUGAGGCCAUGCCAAAGUCAGGAGGAGCCCCCCGGGGGCUCCCUGCGCCUCCUCUGCCGAGCAUCCGGGUUCGAUGUUGGCGGUGUCACCCUGUUCUGGAUCCGCCAGAGGCCCGGGCAGGGGCUGGAGUGGGUCGGGAGCAUCAGGAAGGAAGGUUGGAGCUCCGCGUACGCGCCCUCGGUGCGGGGCCGGUUCACGAUCUCGAGGGACAACGGGCAGAGCUCGGUGACGCUGACCAUGAACAGCCUCAAGGACGAGGAUUCCGGCUCCUAUUUCUGUGCCAAAUCUGCUGGUGCUGGUGCUGGUGGUUACAGUGUUGGUGCUAUUGAGCAGCUACUGGGGACGCGCCUGUCCCUGUGUCCCAACCCUGCUCUGGCUCUGCCCCAAAUUCUCAGCUCUUGGCCACAAAGUUGA